AGCGAACGCUGGCGGCAGGCCUAACACAUGCAAGUCGAACGAACUCUUCGGAGUUAGUGGCGGACGGGUGAGUAACACGUGGGAACGUGCCUUUAGGUUCGGAAUAGCUCAGGGAAACUUGUGCUAAUACCGAAUGUGCCCUUCGGGGGAAAGAUUUAUCGCCUUUAGAGCGGCCCGCGUCUGAUUAGCUAGUUGGGGAGGUAAAGGCUCACCAAGGCGACGAUCAGUAGCUGGUCUGAGAGGAUGAUCAGCCACAUUGGGACUGGGACACGGCCCAAACUCCUACGGGAGGCAGCAGUGGGGAAUCUUGCGCAAUGGGCGAAAGCCUGACGCAUCCAUGCCGCGUGAAUGAUGAAGGUCUUAGGAUUGUAAAAUUCUUUCACCGGGGACGAUAAUGACGGUACCCGGAGAAGAAGCCCCGGCUAACUUCGUGCCAGCCGCCGCAGUAA
rnacentral:rRNA from 1 species